AUGGGCACCAUACUCAUCGCCAUGUCUUUUCUGCUGGUGUUCUCAGCGGCUGCGCCGCAAGCAUCAGCCGCAGCCGCCGGAGGGAUAUUGCAGAUUCCUUCUAGUGACUCCUUGGCUCACUGCAUCCCAAGGUGCGGGGACGUCGAUAUCUUCUAUCCCUUCGGUAUAGGGCCCGGCUGCUUCCGUCAAGGUUUCGAUCUCACCUGCAACCACUCCACCAAGCAUCCCAAGCUCUUUUUAGGCAGCAGCACUGUCCCGGUUACUGACAUGUACUACGACUAUGCUUCUACCCCUAUAAACAUCAAGCUUGCAACAAGGCCAGGUACAGAUACCUACAACAUGUCAUGGGAGGCCCCUUCUAAAGGUAUUACUAUCAGCAGUGAUAAUACUUUGUACGUAGUUGGUUGUGAUUUUGACUUCACCUUGUUCGAGCAUGGUACGGGAGACUUGGUUAGUUCUCGUAUGAGUAGAUGCGCCGGCGAGAAGGCAGCAACUGGAGGAUUUUGUAAUGGGAUAGGUUGCUGCCUCAUCCCGUUACCAAGGGACCUGCAAGGCUUUCAGGCAGAACUUGUCAGCACUAAUAUAACUGCAACCCAAUCAGAUUGGUUGCACCCUGGUAUCAUGGCUGUCGUGUCACGGGCUGAUUAUUACAUGUAUAAUACAACCAAUAUUUUCUCAAGUUGGACAGAUGCAAGCAAUAUAGAUGAUGCGAUGCUUAGUGUUACCAUCAUGGACCAACCAAGCUGUCAAAGUCCACAAAUGAACAAUGCAAGCUAUGCCUGUAGCAACGAUAGCAGUUGCCAAAAUUCCUCAUCUGGUCGUGGUUACGGGUGUUACUGCUCUCCUUAUGAACAAGGCAACCCUUACAUUUUAGAUGGAUGCCUGGAAGCGGAUUAUAACCCCAAGCCCAAAGAACACUGUCCCCCAUCAUGUGGACGCAUUACUGUUCCCUUCCCCUUUGGGCUCGAAGAAGGGUGUUUCGCAAAUGAAGAAUUGCAUCUUAAUUGUACAUCUGGUAAUCUCACAGAUUUCGUCUCAGAAGAUACACAAUAUCAUGUGACUGAUGUAUCCGUGGAAGAUGGGACUCUGACUGUUAGCAACAGGGUGAACAGCAGUAAUGACAAUAAUGGAUAUGUAUUGGAGGCCCCUAUGCAAAAUCGAUUAGAUUUCUCUAUGAAAUACGACAUUGUUAUAAAGUGGGUGAUUUCCAAUUUAACUUGUCAAACAGCUAUGCGAAAGGAUACUAUGUAUGCAUGCCGCAGUUCCAACAGCUAUUGCCUAAAUGUCACUGACGGGGAAAUAUUUAUGGGAUACCGUUGCAAGUGUUCGUCAGGCUUUCAAGGAAAUCCAUACGUCAAGGAUGGCUGCACAGACAUCGAUGAAUGUGGACUAUCAAACUAUUGCAAUGGGACAUGUCAAAAUUUUCCCGGAGGCUACAACUGCACGAGUUGCCUUCAUGGAAAAGAGUUUGAUCCCAUAAAAAGGCAGUGUGUUACAUCAACAAAGGAACACAAUCUUCUUUUGGGCAUCACAAUUGGAACUGGAUGUGGCCUUGGCUCCAUAAUUAUUGCAGUUUGUGUAUUUGUAUUCGCCAACAAGUGGAAGAAAGGCAUCCAGAAGAGAAUCCGACGAGCACACUUCAAGAAAAAUCAAGGCCUACUCUUGGAGCAGCUGAUCUCAGAUGAAAGCGCCACAAACAAAACAAAGAUAUUCUCCUUGGAGGAACUAGAGAAGGCAACCAACAACUUCGAUGCCACUCGUGUUCUUGGUCGUGGUGGACAUGGGACAGUUUAUAAAGGGAUCCUAUCUGACCAACGGGUGGUGGCUAUUAAAAAAUCCAAAAUUGUGGAGCAAACUGAGAUAGACCAGUUUAUCAAUGAGGUUGCUAUCUUGUCUCAAAUCAUUCACCGCAAUGUCGUCAAGCUAUUUGGUUGUUGCCUUGAAUCUGAGGUGCCUUUGCUGGUUUACGAGUUCAUAUCUAAUGGUACACUACACGACCUUCUUCAUAUUGAUGUUAGUCUCGAAUGCUUGUUGUCUUGGGAUGAUCGCAUUAGGAUUGCAGUAGAAGCAGCAGGGGCACUUGCUUAUCUACACUCAGCUGCUGCAAUACCAAUUUUCCAUAGAGACGUGAAAUCUUCUAACAUACUGUUGGAUAGCAGCUUCGCUACAAAGGUUUCCGACUUUGGUGCUUCAAGGUCUCUCUCACUCGAUGAGACUCAUGUGGUUACUAUUGUCCAAGGAACAUUUGGUUACCUAGAUCCAAAGCUAACUGAAAAGAGUGAUGUGUAUAGUUUUGGAGUAAUACUUGUUGAACUUCUGAUAAGAAAAAAGCCAUUUUUUAUCAAUGAUCUUGGUGCAAAACAAAACGUGUCCCAUUAUUUCGUGGAAGGAUUGCAAGAGGGAGCUAUCAUGGAAAUAAUGGAUCCUCAGGUUGUCAAAGAGGCAAACCGAGAAGAGAUUGAUGAUAUUUGCUCACUUGCAGAAGCAUGCUUGAGACUCAAAGGAAGAGACAGACCUACUAUGAAAGAAGUAGAUAUGAGGUUGCAAUUCCUGACAACAAAAAGGCUAAGAAAAUGCAAAAUUCUCCCAGCUAAAGAUGAAGAGAUUGAGCCUUUUUUAUGCCCACAGGUUGGUAAUUCCGAUGCACCAAUGAAUGUUGUCAAUGCUGGCAAUUCAACAUCAAAAGGCAUCUCUAGUUGCUACAGUCUAGAGCAAGAACUUCCAUCCUCGGUCACUUUGCCACGCUAA
rnacentral:rRNA from 1 species